rnacentral:rRNA from 1 species
AACGAACGCUGGCGGCAGGCUUAACACAUGCAAGUCGAGCGCCCCGCAAGGGGAGCGGCAGACGGGUGAGUAACACGUGGGAAUCUACCCAUCCCUACGGAACAACUCCGGGAAACUGGAGCUAAUACCGUAUACGCCCUUCGGGGGAAAGAUUUAUCGGGGAUGGAUGAGCCCGCGUUGGAUUAGCUAGUUGGUGGGGUAAAGGCCUACCAAGGCGACGAUCCAUAGCUGGUCUGAGAGGAUGAUCAGCCACAUUGGGACUGAGACACGGCCCAAACUCCUACGGGAGGCGGCAGUGGGGAAUAUUGGACAAUGGGCGCAAGCCUGAUCCAGCCAUGCCGCGUGAAUGAUGAAGGCCUUAGGGUUGUAAAGUUCUUUCACCGAUGAAGAUAAUGACGGUAGUCGGAGAAGAAGCCCCGGCUAACUUCGUGCCAGCAGCCGCGGUAA